UUGAACGCUGGCGGCAUGCCUUACACAUGCAAGUCGAACGGCAGCACGGGUGCUUGCACCUGGUGGCGAGUGGCGAACGGGUGAGUAAUACAUCGGAACAUGUCCUGUAGUGGGGGAUAGCCCGGCGAAAGCCGGAUUAAUACCGCAUACGAUCUACGGAUGAAAGCGGGGACCUUUGGGCCUCGCGCCAUAGGGUUGGCCGAUGGCUGAUUAGCUAGUUGGUGGGGUAAAGGCCUACCAAGGCGACGAUCAGUAGCUGGUCUGAGAGGACGACCAGCCACACUGGGACUGAGACACGGCCCAGACUCCUACGGGAGGCAGCAGUGGGGAAUUUUGGACAAUGGGCGAAAGCCUGAUCCAGCAAUGCCGCGUGUGUGAAGAAGGCCUUCGGGUUGUAAAGCACUUUUGUCCGGAAAGAAAUCCUUGGCCCUAAUACGGUCGGGGGAUGACGGUACCGGAAGAAUAAGCACCGGCUAACUACGUG
rnacentral:rRNA from 1 species